rnacentral:rRNA from 1 species
CGCGGCCUAUCAGCUUGUUGGUGAGGUAAUGGCCCACCAAGGCAGUGACGGGUAGCCGGCCUGAGAGGGCGACCGGCCACACUGGGACUGAGACACGGCCCAGACUCCUACGGGAGGCAGCAGUGGGGAAUAUUGCGCAAUGGGCGAAAGCCUGACGCAGCGACGCCGCGUGAGGGAUGACGGUCUUCGGAUUGUAAACCUCUUUCAGCAGGGACGAAGCGCAAGUGACGGUACCUGCAGAAGAAGCACCGGCCAACUACGUGCCAGCAGCCGCGGUAAUACGUAGGGUGCAGGCGUCGUCCGGAAUUAUUGGGCGUAAAGAGCUCGUAGGCGGCUUGUCGCGUCGGUUGUGAAAACCUGGGGCUCAACCCCGGGCCUGCAGCCGAUACGGGCAAGCUAGAAUUCGGUAGGGGAGACUGGAAUUCCUGGUGUAGCGGUGAAAUGCGCAGAUAUCAGGAGAAACACCGGUGGCGAAGGCGGGUCUCUGGGCCGAUAUUGACGCUGAGGAGCGAAAGCGUGGGGAGCGAACAGGAUUAGAUACCCUGGUAGUCCACGCCGUAAACGGUGGGCGCUAGGUGUGGGCCACAUUCCACGUGGUCUGUGCCGCAGCUAACGCAUUAAGCGCCCCGCC